CGGAGCUUGAGGCUGUCCUGAGGGUUCCAGCCUAACUCCAAUGACAAGACAGCGACCCAAGGGUACACUGAGACAUUCUCAGAUAAGCAGGAAAAAAGGUACAUGGAGGAGGACUUUGGCUCUAAGAAGACAUCAUUUAGUCUCCUGUGCUCCCUUAGAAAUGCUAUAACCUCAUCAUGAAAAAAGGAAGUUCCUGGCUCCUUGAAGAGGAAUAACGUAAAACUCUGAGGUCACAUCGGAUUACCUGACAAUAAGGCUGUUGUGUUUAUAUCUGCUGCAUGCCAGAAGGAAGACAGGGAGAAGAGAUAAGUCUAAGCAUAAAACAUGUCCUUGUACCCAAUAAAAAUACAUUUAAAAAGAGCCUGCAUGAAGAGACGCUGAGAACAAAACAAUCCAGCUUCUUUAAAAUGGUAUUCAAAUUGUAGGUCAAGGGGAAAAUAGUUGUGGGCCAAGGCAGGUUUGCAAUGAAUGGUAUAAACAAGGCAAUUAAAAUAGGAAGGCCUUCAAACAGAAUCCAAUCAGCAAAAUUCACAGGAGUAUUUAGAACUAAUUUUAAUAGAUCUGUUAGAAUAAUUAUCUGAAGUAGCAACCAAUAUCACAGUUAUUUAAAUAUCAAUUACCGGAACAGAUUUUGUAGUUAUCAGGUAAAAGUUGCAGAGUCAAAUCACAUUUCCUGCAGUUAAAUUUAUAAUCAUUAUAAAACUUGGAACUUCUCCUAUGCUCCAGAGCUUUAUAAAAUAAGAGACACAAGCCGCUUGUCGCUGUUGCUAUGAGACAAAUGUUUACAUCACACAUUUCUGGAGAAGGAAGGAAAAUUACAGG